UACGUAGGGGGCAAGCGUUGUCCGGAUUCAUUGGGCGUAAAGAGCGUGUAGGCGGCCAGGUAGGUCGGUUGUGCAAACUGGAGGCUCAACCUUCAGAGGUCGACCGAAACCAUCUGGCUAGAGUCCGGGAGAGGAGAGUGGAAUUCCUGGUGUAGCGGUGAAAUGCGCAGAUAUCAGGAAGAACACCCGUGGCGAAAGCGGCUCUCUGGAACGGUACUGACGCUGAGACGCGAAAGCGUGGGGAGCGAACAGG
rnacentral:rRNA from 1 species